CUCUUUCGCCCUGUGAAACGCGCGUUCUACCUUCAGAAGGAAGGGCCCAUUUUCAAAAUUGAUCAAACCUCCCACUCCCUGCGUUCAUGGCUUCUUCUUCCCCUUUGGCCAGCGCCCCGCCGUCUCCAGUUCGUGGAUUCUCUUCCGCAGAUUAGUACUUCAGUUCGUGGCUGAUGAUCACCUCCCCGCGUUCGCCCCACCGCUCGCGCUUCUUCUUCCCCAGUUGGUGAGAUUUGUCUGGCCGCCCCUCUGUCCAACUUCCCAGUUGUUGCACUAGUGUUGCAUGGGUGCUUGGAGGUGAUGGUGCUAUUGUUGUAGCUCAUACUGAUGGAAAUUUUUAUGUGUAUAAGAAGGCAAGUCUUGGACUUUCAUGAUUCAAUGUUGUUGUAGAUAGUGAGUUAAGCAUGUUUUAAUGAAAUUUUGUUUUGUACAGAAUUACACCGUAAAGUAAACUUCUUGCCAUAUUUUUGUAUUGCUUUUGAAUCCUAUUUUGUCAUGUGAAACGUUCGAACUGUGUGCAGGGGGAAGCAAUAUGUGAAUUCUUCGUAUGGGCGGAUAGACUUCAACUAAUAGAGGAGAACAUUCUGACAACAGAGAACCAAGAUUGGAAGAGGGAGGAUAAUGUAUUGUUGCACAAGUAUGAAGCUCGGAAAAAAAAGAUAAACUAAGAGAGAGACAACUGUUCACAAGGUUAAGGUCAAACUUGAAAAGCGGAGUGUCGUGCAUACGGAUAUGGUUGUGUUUGUAUUGAGUUGUAUCUAUUGAUUGUAUUUUUUCUGGUUGGUUUGGAUCAAAUAUGUAAAUAGCGGAAAGCAUCGUGUCAAAAUCA